rnacentral:rRNA from 1 species
UACGUAGGGAGCAAGCGUUGUCCGGAAUCAUUGGGCGGAAAGCGCGCGUAGGUGGCCUCAUAAGUCCGUUGUGAAAGUCAAAGGCUCAACCUUUGAAAGCCGAUGGAUACUGUGAGACUAGAGUACGGAAGAGGCGAGUGGAAUUCCUGGUGUAGCGGUGGAAUGCGCAGAUAUCAGGAGGAACACCAAUAGCGAAGGCAGCUCGCUGGGACGUUACUGACACUGAGGCGCGAAAGCGUGGGGAGCGAACAGG